GCUGUAUUUGCAUGGGUCAGCACCUGGUCUAAUUAGCUCUGCAGAGCAACUAAGCCAAUUCUCAGCACUGAAAUAAGCAGGGUCCUGUUCCUGGGCACAUGGAGAAGCACAAGCAGUUCCAGCCCAGCGCUGACAGGUAUAGUAUGAGGUACAUAUGGAAGAACAGGCCUCGAUUCUCCAUAUCAACAGUUUGGCAACAGAAAUUUCCAGAACCUCUGCUCUCCUCACUGAGUGGCCAGAGCCUGAAUUUGGCACCAAUGAGCUCCAGAGCAGAGCUCUGAAAGUAACUCUGCAGGCCAAUAUAUCUUCACUUCUCUCAGCCAUUCCAAGACCUCUUCUUUUCAUUCUCCCUGCUACUUGUACAUCCUUGAGAGAGAGAGGAGCCAACUUGCAGCCCUACCACUGGGGUCCCGCAGGCAAAACAGAAUGGCUGCCCACAGGCCACAUUUUGCCCAACCCUGCGCUAGAUCCUGCCCAGGAACGAUAAGUGAUCCAGCUGCCUGUACCUUUGGUUUAGCUGACUGUCUGUUUGGUGGGUGAAUGCUCUGAGAAGCUGGGAGUGAGUGCUGAAUGCUGACUGACUGUUGAUUGCUAUGGGAUUACUGACAGUGGGAUUGCUGCCUGGACCUGAGUCAGCGCAGGCCCAGAAGGGUAUAAAAGGAGUCUUCCCAGAUGGAGAAGACUUCUGAUGGAGAAGCUGCGAGGAAAUGCCCUGAAAAAGAUGCUGGUGAAUGAAAAACGGUCACCUCGGGGGCCAGACCUCUCACCACAGAGACCACUCCCCCAGUGCAGUUGGGGAGCAAAUAUGAGGCCCUAGCUGUACUGGAGGGGCCUGCUCCCAUCACCGAGCAAGCUGAGGGCCGACCAGGGAAGCAGAAGAAGAGACACCAGAUCAUCGUUAUGGGCAACUCCUUGCUGAGAGGAACAGAGGGACCCAUCUGUUGUCUGGAUACCAUGGCAUGUGAGGUCUGCUGCCUGCCCAGAGCCAGGAUCAGGGACAUCAUGGCGAGAAUUCCUGACCUCACCUGGCCCUCUGACAACUAUCCCAUGGUCCUCAUUCAUGUGGGAACAAAUGAUGCAGCCAGGAGUAAUCCAGAUCAUAUCAUGAGUGACUACAGGGCUCUGGAGACCAGGCUUAGGAAGAUGGGAGUGCAGGUGGUCUUUUUGUCAGUCCUCCUGGUCAGCGGUCACAGUAGGCAUCAUGUCACCUGUGUCAGGGAAGUCAACCCGUGGCUUCAGAGUUGGUGCCAUUGUGUGGGUUUUGGCUUCCUGGACCAUGAUCCGCACUUCCAUGCAAGGGACCUCGAUGGGCUUCAUCUCUCCACAAAAGGUAAGAAUCUGUUUUCUUACAGGUUGGCUGACCUCCUACAUCAGGCUUUAAACUCAGUACAAUGGGGGACAGCAAGGCAGGAGAUGGAGAGAGUCUAGAACCUACAAACUGCGAGACAUGCAGCGGUAGACCCAAGUAAGUACCAAGGGGCCCUUUGGGCAUCAGAAUGGGGGGGCACCAAAGGCACUGUUCGAAGGGCUCAAGUGCCUCUAUACUAAUACUAGUGUAGCAAAACCCUCAGUUUUUCUUUUUUUUUCUUUUAAAAUACAUUCCCUCCCCUUCCCCAACCAUUUCUGAUUUUUCUCUCCCUCUCUAUUCCCUAUAGAUAAGUAUAAGUGAGCUCAAACUUAGGAUAAGCUUUAAACAUUUUUUAUUUUGGUAGCAAGUUUUUGGUUUUGGAUAUCUAUUGUUUUAUACUGUAUAAUUGUUAGGUUUGUAUUAAUUUUUACUGUUGUAUAUUGUAUUAUUAUCAUUUUUGUAUUGAUUUUUAUUGUUUCAUAUGGAUAUUGUAUGGUUUAGGCCUGUGUUUAUAAGUGAAGCAAAGUCAUGUCUAGUUUCCAUUUUAUAUGUCAAGCCUCCAUCUUAUGUCCUCUGCCUGGGCAGCCCAUGUUGCAACAAUAUGAUUCAUUGUACCCUUCCCAUGUAAAUUGGUUCCCCGAUGAAUGAGUGAUUGGGAAUGAAUGAAAUACAAUGGUAGCAGGCCUCUACUGAAUGGCCUGUAAUGACUGGGCCAUCACCUCACAUUGAUUCAUCCAGGAACCACGGACCUCACCCAGGAACAGAGACAAGAACCCAGCAUUUGAAAAACAAAAGACCCUGCAGAACCAGUAACUCUCUCAUUGUACCCCACCAUUACAGACACCCGAAACUGCACAUCCCUGCAUAGAGCACUCAUGCUCAGUACACCAGGUGCUGACCCUUGCCUGGGCAUGCCUCCUGCCACUAGGGUCACACACCGUCUGCCCCUAUAAAAAGGGGCAGUGAAGACAGACCCAGUGGGAACACCAUUUCCAUCCGGACCAAACUAGCUUCAUGUCACCUGUCCACCCCAGAGGCCCUGCCAGCAACCCCCUCUGGACAACACCGAACUGAAGGAGACCCUGACUGGCCAUCGAGGAUCAACUUCCAGCCUGGGAUAGGUAGAUAUUACCUGCACACCUCCCUCCUACAAUUUGGACUCUCUCUUUCUGUCUCUCUCUCCUCCUGGACUUCAGUGGACUUCAGCCCCUGCACCAAGCCUCUUUAACCCCUCUGCCAUUGUGUGUGCAUGCAUAUAUGUGUGUGGGUGCAAGGGAACCAAUUUGGCAUUGUGUCACCAUCUCCCCUGUUCAAUAAAACCACUGUCAUU